AAAAAAACAAACCCUAGGUUUCCGUAUCCAACGUUUGACUGUUUGUCUUAUAUGAAUUUUUUUUAUAAUUAUUAUUUUCAUUGUUGUUAGAUGAUAAAACAUGAUUAAUACUUUAUGCGUGACUUGUCUUUUUAAUUUUUUUCAUAUUUUUUUAAAUAAGAUGGACGGCUAAACGUUGGAUACGGAAACCCAUGGUUUGUCUUGUU
rfam:Oryza sativa Japonica Group DNA, chromosome 1, cultivar: Nipponbare, complete sequence.